GUGGCAGCCGCCGCGGUAAAACCAGCACCUCAAGUGGUCAGGAGGAUUAUUGGGCCUAAAGCAUCCGUAGCCUGCUCUGUAAGUUUCCGGUUAAAUCCAUUAGCUUAACUGAUGGGCCGCCGGAAAAACUGCAAAGCUAGGGAGUGGGAGAGGUAGACGGUACUCGGUAGGAAGGGGUAAAAUCCUUUGAUCUAUUGAUGACCACCUGUGGCGAAGGCGGUCUACCAGAACACGUUCGACGGUGAGGGAUGAAAGCUGGGGGAGCAAACCGGAUUAGAUACCCGGGUAGUCCCAGCUGUAAACGAUGCAGACUCGGUGAUGCCCUGGCUUGUGGCCAGUGCAGUGCCGCAGGGAAGCCGUUAAGUUUGCCGCCUGGGAAGUACGUACGCAAGUAUGAAACUUAAAGGAAUUGGCGGGGGAGCACCACAAGGGGUGAAGCCUGCGGUUCAAUUGGAGUCAACGCCAGAAAUCUUACCCGAGGAGACAGCAGAAUGAAGGUCAAGCUGGAGACUUUACCAGACAAGCUGAGAAGUGGUGCAUGGCCGUCGCCAGCUCGUGCCGUGAGAUGUCCUGUUAAGUCAGGUAACGAGCGAGAUCCCUGCCUCUAGUUGCCACCAUUACUCUCAGGAGUAGUGGGGCGAAUUAGCGGGACCGCCACAGUUAAUGUGGAGGAAGGAAGGGGCCACGGCAGGUCAGUAUGCCCUGAAACCUUGGGGCCACACGCGGGCUGCAAUGAUAGUGACAAUGAGUUCCUAAACCGAAAGGUGGAGGCAAUCUUCAAACGCUAUCACAGUUAUGAUUGAGGGCUGCAACUCGCCCUCAUGAAUAUGGAAUCCCUAGUAACUGCGUGUCAUUACCGCGCGGUGAAUACGUCCCUGCUCCUUGCACACACCGCCCGUC
rnacentral:rRNA from 1 species